rnacentral:rRNA from 1 species
GACGAACGCUGGCGGCGUGCCUAAUACAUGCAAGUUGAGCGAUGAAGCUUGGUGCUUGCCCCUAUUUGAAGAGCAGCGAACGGGUGAGUAACGCGUGGGUAAUCUGCCUUUGAGCGGGGGACAACAUUUGGAAACGAAUGCUAAUACCGCAUAACAACUUUAAACAUAAGUUUUAAGUUUGAAAGAUGCAAUUGCAUCACUCAAAGAUGAUCCCGCGUUGUAUUAGCUAGUUGGUGAGGUAAAGGCUCACCAAGGCGAUGAUACAUAGCCGACCUGAGAGGGUGAUCGGCCACAGUGGGACUGAGACACGGCCCAAACUCCUACGGGAGGCAGCAGGAGGGAAUCUUCGGCAAUGGACGAAAGGCUGACCGAGCAACGCCGCGGGAGUGAAGAAGGGUUUCGGAUCGUAAAACUCGGUUGGUAGAGAAGAACGUUGGUGAGAGUGGAAAGCUCAUCAAGUGACGGUAACUACCCAGAAAGGGACGGCUAACUACGUG